UGAGUACGAGAUGCUACGGCAUCGAAGCAGUCUAUGUCAUACUUCCAAGAAAAGCUUGCAAUGUCAUAAACAAAUAAUGCCUGUACCAUAACCGACACAGGUGGGUAGGUAGAGUAUACUAAGGGGCGCGAGAUAACUCUCUCUAAGGAACUCGGCAAAAUGACUCCGUAACUUCGGGAGAAGGAGUGCCUUAUUUUUAUAAGGUUGCAAUAACAAGAUCCAAGCAACUGUUUACCAAAAACACAGGUCUCCGCUAAGUCGUAAGACGAUGUAUGGGGGCUGACGCCUGCCCAGUGCCAGAAGGUUAAAGAAGUUGGUUAGCAUUAGCGAAGCUGAUAACUGAAGCCCUGGUGAACGGCGGCCGUAACAAUAACGGUCCUAAGUUAGCGAAAUUCCUUGUCGGGUAAGUUCCGACCCGCACGAAAGGCGUAAUGAUUUGGAUACUGUCUCGGAGAGGGGCUCGGUGAAAUAGACUUGUCUGUGAAGAUGCGGACUACCUGCACCUGGACAGAAAGACCCUAUGAAGCUUUACUGUAACUUGAGAUUGAAAUUGGACUUUAUCUGCGCAGUAUAGGUGGGAGACGUUGAAAAUAUUCUUGCGGGAAUAUUGGAGUCAUCAGUGAGAUACCACUCUUAUAAUGUUAGAUUUCUAACUUUGUAUCAUUAUCUGGUCAAAGAACAGUUUCAGGCGGGCAGUUUGACUGGGGCGGUCGCCUCCCAAACGGUAACGGAGGCGCACAAAGGUUUCCUCUGAACGUGUAGAAAUCGUAUCUAGAGUGUAAAGGCAUAAGGAAGCUUGACUGUGAGACCUACAAGUCGAGCAGGGACGAAAGUCGGUCUUAGUGAUCUGACGGUGCUGAGUGGAAAGGCCGUCACUCAACGGAUAAAAGUUACUCUAAGGAUAACAGGCUGAUCUCCCCCAAGAGUUCACAUCGACGGGGAGGUUUGGCACCUCGAUGUCGGCUCAUCGCAUCCUGGGGCGGUAGUACGUCCCAAGGGUUGGGCUGUUCGCCCAUGAAAGCGGUACGCGAGCUGGGUUCAGAACGUCGUGAGACAGUUCGGUCCAUAUCCGGUGUAGGCGUUAGAAUAUUGAGAGGAGCCUUCUUUAGUACGAGAGGACCGAGAAGGACAUACCUCUGGUGUACCAGUUAUCGUGCCAACGGUAAACGCUGGGUAGCCAUGUAUGGAGAGGAUAACCGCUGAAAGCAUCUAAGUGGGAAGCCCACCUCAAGAUAAGUAUUCUCA
rnacentral:rRNA from 1 species